GCACUGCUGACGAGUCCUAAAUAGGACGAAACAGCUGUCCA
rnacentral:hammerhead_ribozyme from 1 species